GAGUUUGAUCAUGGCUCAGGACGAACGCUGGCGGCGUGCCUAAUACAUGCAAGUAGAACGCUGAAGAGAGGAGCUUGCUCUUCUUGGAUGAGUUGCGAACGGGUGAGUAACGCGUAGGUAACCUGCCUUGUAGCGGGGGAUAACUAUUGGAAACGAUAGCUAAUACCGCAUAACAAUGGAUGACACAUGUCAUUUAUUUGAAAGGGGCAAUUGCUCCACUACAAGAUGGACCUGCGUUGUAUUAGCUAGUAGGUGAGGUAACGGCUCACCUAGGCGACGAUACAUAGCCGACCUGAGAGGGUGAUCGGCCACACUGGGACUGAGACACGGCCCAGACUCCUACGGGAGGCAGCAGUAGGGAAUCUUCGGCAAUGGGGGCAACCCUGACCGAGCAACGCCGCGUGAGUGAAGAAGGUUUUCGGAUCGUAAAGCUCUGUUGUAAGUCAAGAACGAGUGUGAGAGUGGAAAGUUCACACUGUGACGGUAGCUUACCAGAAAGGGACGGCUAACUACGUGCCAGCAGCCGCGGUAAUACGUAGGUCCCGAGCGUUGUCCGGAUUUAUUGGGCGUAAAGCGAGCGCAGGCGGUUUGAUAAGUCUGAAGUUAAAGGCUGUGGCUCAACCAUAGUUCGCUUUGGAAACUGUCAAACUUGAGUGCAGAAGGGGAGAGUGGAAUUCCAUGUGUAGCGGUGAAAUGCGUAGAUAUAUGGAGGAACACCGGUGGCGAAAGCGGCUCUCUGGUCUGUAACUGACGCUGAGGCUCGAAAGCGUGGGGAGCGAACAGGAUUAGAUACCCUGGUAGUCCACGCCGUAAACGAUGAGUGCUAGGUGUUGGAUCCUUUCCGGGAUUCAGUGCCGCAGCUAACGCAUUAAGCACUCCGCCUGGGGAGUACGACCGCAAGGUUGAAACUCAAAGGAAUUGACGGGGGCCCGCACAAGCGGUGGAGCAUGUGGUUUAAUUCGAAGCAACGCGAAGAACCUUACCAGGUCUUGACAUCCCGAUGCUAUUUCUAGAGAUAGAAAGUUACUUCGGUACAUCGGUGACAGGUGGUGCAUGGUUGUCGUCAGCUCGUGUCGUGAGAUGUUGGGUUAAGUCCCACAACGAGCGCAACCCCUAUUGUUAGUUGCCAUCAUUCAGUUGGGCACUCUAGCGAGACUGCCGGUAAUAAACCGGAGGAAGGUGGGGAUGACGUCAAAUCAUCAUGCCCCUUAUGACCUGGGCUACACACGUGCUACAAUGGUUGGUACAACGAGUUGCGAGUCGGUGACGGCAAGCUAAUCUCUUAAAGCCAAUCUCAGUUCGGAUUGUAGGCUGCAACUCGCCUACAUGAAGUCGGAAUCGCUAGUAAUCGCGGAUCAGCACGCCGCGGUGAAUACGUUCCCGGGCCUUGUACACACCGCCCGUC
rnacentral:rRNA from 1 species